rnacentral:lncRNA from 1 species
CCGCAGAAGGAGGAAGGCAGAUGGCAGAAGCGGCAGUGCUGUCCGGUAGGGAAGGCCCCGACGUCCGCCCUUCCCCAGACCGUGGGCUCCCCUCGCUUCCAGGGGUGGAGGAGAGAAGAGCUGGAGAAACGUGCCACGACUCAAACAAAUUUACUUCCGUGGUGGAUUCUGAUUUUUUUGAACAAAAUGAGGUUUCUUUCUGUGGUCCAACCUACCACCCUCAUAUUUCCAGCAGAAGGAACAUGAAAUGAAAAAGGAAAAAAGCCCUUACAAUAUCAUACGAGUUUCUCUACCAGCACAUCAUGCUGGUGUCCUAAAGAAGCCAGACAGCAGAGUUAACGGGUACAAGUUUAAACGUUG